rnacentral:rRNA from 1 species
CUAAUACAUGCAAGUCGAGCGCGGGAAGCAGGUGUCAGUCUUCGGACGGACGUCUGUGGAACGAGCGGCGGAUGGGUGAGUAACACGUGGGUAACCUGCCUGUAAGCUUGGGAUAACUCGCGGAAACGUGAGCUAAUACCGAAUGAUCCUGACGUUCGCAUGAACGUUAGGUAAAAGGCGGCUUUUGCUGUCACUUACAGAUGGACCCGCGGCGCAUUAGCUAGUUGGUGGGGUAACGGCUCACCAAAGCGACGAUGCGUAGCCGACCUGAGAGGGUGAUCGGCCACACUGGGACUGAGACACGGCCCAGACUCCUACGGGAGGCAGCAGUAGGGAAUCUUCCGCAAUGGACGAAAGUCUGACGGAGCGACGCCGCGUGAGUGAUGAAGGUCUUCGGAUCGUAAAACUCUGUUGUUAGGGAAGAAUAAGUAUCGACCUAACAAGUCGGUACCUUGACGGUACCUAACCAGAAAGCCCCGGCUAACUACGUGCCAGCAGCCGCGGUAAUACGUAGGGGGCAAGCGUUGUCCGGAAUUAUUGGGCGUAAAGGGCGCGCAGGCGGUCUUUUAAGUCUGAUGUGAAAUCUCGUAGCUUAACUACGAGCGGUCAUUGGAAACUGGAAGACUUGAGGACAGAAGAGGAGAGUGGAAUUCCACGUGUAGCGGUGAAAUGCGUAGAGAUGUGGAGGAACACCAGUGGCGAAGGCGAC